AGACCCAGAACCACAGAGCAGUGUUGCAUGGAUUUAACAUAGGCCACGUCUCAAAAGACAGUCCCUCUUGUUGCGGGCUCCACUGCUUAACAAGGACCACAGUGGUAUGCACCCUUCAAUGGGUUAUUGAUGCCUUCCUGGCUGACUCACUUCCAUGCUGAAUGAGGAGGGAAAGGGCACCAGCAGACCUCUCUAGCCUAGCCACAGGGAUCCUGCCCCAUGACUCCCCUCUCCUGGGACAGCCUUUUCUGUCAGUCUCAGCUAGAGCUAGAGCUGUCUCCUUUUUAAUUAAAGCAAACUGUCAGCUCCCACACCAAGGACUUGAGAUGACUACGCUACCCUGGCUGGAGAGGGAACAACUGUGACCUCACGAGGAGGAGAGAAGAUGAGGAUGCUGGAUUAGUGUGAUAGUGUUGUCCUAAGGCAAAUCCAGCCAGACCUCAUUCUCUGGUUUUAUUUGCAGGUGGGAGGUUUGGACUUCCAAGUAUUUUGGCUGUAAAUGAGCCUGAAACCUCCAAAAUCAAAGAAUAAACCCUGGGUUGAUUUUUGAGGGGAGGGGCAUGAAUUACCCCAAAACUAUAAAUUGCUUGAGGUUCAGAUCUGACAGAAUUCAGACUGUGCCAUAAUCUAAGACCUGAGGAGAGAGGUGUUUGGGGGUCAGGUUGGUUGAGUUGUUUUUUUUUUUAGUAUUGUUGCAGGAAGCCAAAGGGCUCCAGUUUUUACUUCCCCAUAAAAAACUGGCUCUAUUAUAAAGGUGACGCACCAAGUUUUAGCAUGGGAGAGUCGGGUGGGAAAAUUAUAACAGUUGUUAUGCCACUUUUUUUAGUUAAGUGCACAGAACACACAGCACUCUGAAUUAAAGAUGUUUCUGGAUUCUGCAAACCAUCUCUGAACUUUAUGGAAAAGCAUUUGUUUUAAAACAUAACAUUGGAAAGGAAAAGCAACAUCUGCAGCUGCUGCACGUCAGAGGUCACCACGGCAGAAGACAAAGCCCAGCCUGUGACAGCAGAUGGAAGGUUACUGAAAAUUGGUUCUGAGCAGCGCCGUGGAGAUAAAUAGGAGACUUCCACUAACAACUGAAAAGUAAUACAAUCUGAGGCAUUAUUCUGCUUAAAAAAAGAGGUCAUGAAAUUACGAACCAAAGUGGUGAAGAACAGAAACUAGGCUCACCAGCUUCAAUGCCCCGUGUCCCCGUGGGCUGUGGGGAGGGGAAGUGUCCCUGUUCUUUGAGUGGAGGCGCUGCACAGUUAGCCUAUGCAUGUCUGGCCACGUGAACAAGAGUAAGAGCUGCUCUGGCCUGGAGCAUUGUUGUUACUGGUGACCUCGCAGGGAAAUAAGUGUUUGGUGAGAGCUGGAACCUAUGAGUUGAAUGAGGCUGCUACACAUUCCUCCAGCACCAGCCAGGGCUCUAAAAUGCUCAAGGGACCUGUUGACUCCUGACAUCAGUUGCUAAAGUAUCUCUGCAAGACCCCAAGGACGGUUCAUAUUGCUGCAGCAUGAAUGUGGGCAGAAUGCUAGAGAGGAACCUCUGCUACGGAGUCUAAGAGGUGCGGAGAACCCACAACCUGGACUGAAGUCAAAAGGAGCUGCAAAUACUCAGCACUUCAGAAAAAGGCUCAAAAUAAUGCCAGGCCUGAAGAACACCUCCCCCUUCCUUCCCCAGCGUGCACACAUUAAACUUUGGGGCUGCUGAGAAAUGGAUGCAAGCUUCACCA